rnacentral:rRNA from 1 species
CCAGCACCCCGAGUUGUCGGGACGAUUAUUGGGCCUAAAGCAUCCGUAGCCUGUUCUGCAAGUCCUCCGUUAAAUCCACCCGCUUAACGGAUGGGCUGCGGGGGAUACUGCAGAGCUAGGAGGCGGGAGAGGCAAACGGUACUCAGUGGGUAGGGGUAAAAUCCAUUGAUCUACUGAAGACCACCAGUGGCGAAGGCGGUUUGCCAGAACGCGCUCGACGGUGAGGGAUGAAAGCUGGGGGAGCAAACCGGAUUAGAUACCCGGGUAGUCCCAGCUGUAAACGAUGCAGACUCGGUGAUGGGUUGGCCUCGAGCCAACCCAGUGCCGCAGGGAAGCCGUUAAGUCUGCCGCCUGGGGAGUACGGUCGCAAGACUG